GACGAACGCUGGCGGCGUGCUUAACACAUGCAAGUCGAACGGAAAGGCCCUGCUUUUGUGGGGUGCUCGAGUGGCGAACGGGUGAGUAACACGUGAGUAACCUGCCCUUGACUUUGGGAUAACUUCAGGAAACUGGGGCUAAUAUCGGAUAGGAGCUCCUGCUGCAUGGGGGGGGUUGGAAAGUUUCGGCGGUUGGGGAUGGACUCGCGGCUUAUCAGCUGGUUGGUGGGGUAGUGGCUUACCAAGGCUUUGACGGGUAGCCGGCCUGAGAGGGUGACCGGCCACCUUGGGCCUGAGGUACGGACCAGACUCCUACGGGACGCAGCAGUGGGGAAUAUUGCACAAUGGGCGGAAGCCUGAUGCAGAGACGCCGCGUGCGGGAUGACGGCCUUCGGGUUGUGAACCGCUUUCGCCUGUGACGAAGCGUGAGUGACGGUAAUGGGUAAAGAAGCACCGGCUAACUACGUG
rnacentral:rRNA from 1 species